rnacentral:rRNA from 1 species
CACGUAGGAGGCGAGCGUUGUCCGGAAUCAUUGGGCGUAAAGAGCGCGCAGGCGGCUUGGCAAGUCGGGUGUGAAAUCCCGGGGCUCAACCCCGGGACUGCAUUCGAUACUGUCAGGCUAGAGGUAGGUAGGGGAGAUCGGAAUUCCUGGUGUAGCGGUGAAAUGCGCAGAUAUCAGGAGGAACACCGGUGGCGAAGGCGGAUCUCUGGGCCUUACCUGACGCUAAGGAGCGAAAGCGUGGGGAGCGAACAGG